rnacentral:lncRNA from 1 species
GUUCAUUUUUAUGCUCAGGUUCAACAAAGUAUGGACAGCCCCGUAGAAAUAUGAUUGGACGAAAAGACUAUGAUCUAAUGGUAAUAAACACAGGGGAAACCCAGCAAGAUCUGUCUAUCUAGAUGUUUCUUGGCCUCUCUGAGCCUGCAUUUCUUCCUCUGGUUAUGGGGUAAGGCCCUCUCUGGAAUGAGACCUCUGGAAUAAUCUGCAGUCAAAAAACGUGAGAAAUCAGAAAACAGGCGAGGGGGAGAUUUUCCCUAAGUGCCAGCAUCAACAGUUCUCUGGACUCCCAUCUGAGGAUCCUUCCCAGCUCCAUGAGGCAGCUUGCCAAGCUGAACACCGUGGGAGGAGACUGGACUCUUGCUCAGAGCUCUUUUGGGUUUCAGUGCAAAUGACUCAGGAGGAUUCCUAUACCCCAGAAAAUCAAACUCCUUACAAAAGAAAACACAGCUAUAAGUGUUGGUGGGAAAGUCCUCUGAACUAGGAAAUGUUAUCGCAUUAAAUUAAUCUUCCUAAAUGAGCCCAAGAUGUCUGCUCCACAUCAUCAGAAAGCUAGGAAUGUUCUGGAAUGGUGGAGAAAUUAAGCAGAACAUCCUCCUACCUUCAUUUAUGAGAGCCCUAAAACUAUCCCAGAUAAAGAAAGGCUCCCAGUUAGAGAGCAAAAACAGCAAGUAAGCACUACAUGCCAACCCUGCUCAAUCAGUAGCAGUUGACUGGUCUGCUGUGUUAGGUAGGAUUCUGGGGUCCUGUCCUAGCUCAACCUGAAAGGGUGCAGUGAUCAAUAUGUGGAGUCUGCUUUGGCCAUGGUAAGGGUGGCAGCACCAUGCCAGGCAUUUGCCAUGUCUCUUUUAGAACCCCAAACAAAUCUGAUUUACUUUCCUGGGACAAACGCUCACUCAUUCUACCAAUGCCGGUCUGUUUCAUUCCAUCAGUUUCCUUGUAUAAAAUCUGAGGCAAAUGUCUCCUUUGUGAUAGUUGACACUGUUGAACUGCGGGAUAAACUGCUUUGCUAUGUAUGGUGGUACUAGGACCUCAUCUCAGAAUCUCACUCACUCAUACGCUCAGUACGCACAAGUUGAGUGUCCGCUAGAUGCCAGUCAUUGGAAGUGGAGAGAUUUAGCAAACCAGUGGUAUUGCAUAUAAGAAUAAUUAUUUUUCAAGGUUGCUAAUUCAUAAAAUAUUAUGUGCCACACAAAACUUAACAUUAAUACCCACCAUUUUUUUAUCUGAAAUUAACAUACCCUCAGUUAAGGGACCAAUAAUGACAGUGUAUAACAAUUGAUUAUAAUUAGUGUCUUGAAUAUUUAUUGCUUGGACAGCUAUAUUUUGAGGAAAGUGUCUUUAAACAAAAUAGCUAAAUAUUGGUUAUCUUUAAAGUUCAUUAAAGUUGCUAACUUAGAAAAAAAAUCUAACAGAAUAUACAAUAAUCAUUCACCAAAAGCUGCAUGUUUAAUAAAUAUUUAUUAGAAAC